CAAUCGGCCCUUUUAAGGGCUAACAAACGUUCAUAAAAGGGUUUAU
rfam:Aedes aegypti strain Liverpool supercont1.417 genomic scaffold, whole genome shotgun sequence.